AACCAUUCUCACCUGCGGCUAGACCUGCGGAGGGAUCAUUACCGAGUUUACAACUCCCAAACCCCUGUGAACAUACCUAUACGUUGCCUCGGCGGAUCAGCCCGCGCCCUGUAAAAAGGGACGGCCCGCCCGAGGACCCUAAACUCUGUUUUUAGUGGAACUUCUGAGUAAAACAAACAAAUAAAUCAAAACUUUUAACAAUGGAUCU
rnacentral:misc_RNA from 1 species